UACGUAGGGGGCUAGCGUUGCUCGGAAUUACUGGGCGUAAAGCGCACGUAGGCGGAUUGUUAAGUCGGGGGUGAAAUCCUGGAGCUCAACUCCAGAACUGCCUUUGAUACUGAAGAUCUUGAGUUCGGGAGAGGUGAGUGGAACUGCGAGUGUAGAGGUGAAAUUCGUAGAUAUUCGCAAGAACACCAGUGGCGCAGGCGGCUCACUGGCCCGAUACUGACGCUGAGGCACGAAAGCGUGGGGAGCAAACAGG
rnacentral:rRNA from 1 species